rfam:Streptomyces sp. HGB0020 genomic scaffold aczIR-supercont1.3, whole genome shotgun sequence.
CGAGCCGGGCGGACGGCCGCGUGGAGUCCUCUUGACGGAGAACUCCCCGAGGAACGUCCGGGCUCCACAGGGCAGGGUGAUGGCUAACGGCCACCCGGGGUGACCCGCGGGACAGUGCCACAGAAAACAGACCGCCCGGCACUUCGGUGCCGGGUAAGGGUGAAACGGCGGUGUAAGAGACCACCAGUGCCCAGGGCGACCUGAGCAGCUAGGUAAACCCCACCCGGAGCAAGGUCAAAAGGAGCCGCUGUAAAAGGCGCGCUCUGCGGGGACGUUCGAGGGCUGCCCGCCCGAGUCCCCGGGUAGACCGCACGAGGCCGACGGCAACGUCGACCCUAGAUGGAUGGCCGUCGCCCCGACUCCCGCGAGGGAGCCGGGGAACAGAACCCGGCGUACAGCCCGACUCGUCUG